rnacentral:rRNA from 1 species
UGCAAGUCGAGCGGUAGCACAAGAGAGCUUGCUCUCUGGGUGACGAGCGGCGGACGGGUGAGUAAUGUCUGGGAAACUGCCUGAUGGAGGGGGAUAACUACUGGAAACGGUAGCUAAUACCGCAUAACGUCGCAAGACCAAAGAGGGGGACCUUCGGGCCUCUUGCCAUCAGAUGUGCCCAGAUGGGAUUAGCUAGUAGGUGGGGUAAUGGCUCACCUAGGCGACGAUCCCUAGCUGGUCUGAGAGGAUGACCAGCCACACUGGAACUGAGACACGGUCCAGACUCCUACGGGAGGCAGCAGUGGGGAAUAUUGCACAAUGGGCGCAAGCCUGAUGCAGCCAUGCCGCGUGUGUGAAGAAGGCCUUCGGGUUGUAAAGCACUUUCAGCGAGGAGGAAGGUGGUGAACUUAAUACGUUCAUCAAUUGACGUUACUCGCAGAAGAAGCACCGGCUAACUCCGUGCCAGCAGCCGCGGUAAUACGGAGGGUGCAAGCGUUAAUCGGAAUUACUGGGCGUAAAGCGCACGCAGGCGGUUUGUUAAGUCAGAUGUGAAAUCCCCGGGCUCAACCUGGGAACUGCAUUUGAAACUGGCAAGCUAGAGUCUCGUAGAGGGGGGUAGAAUUCCAGGUGUAGCGGUGAAAUGCGUAGAGAUCUGGAGGAAUACCCGGUGGCGAAGGCGGCCCCCUGGACGAANGACUGACGCUCAGGUGCGAAAGCGUGGGGAGCAAACAGGAUUAGAUACCCCUGGUAGUCCACGCUGUAAACGAUGUCGAUUUGGAGGUUGUGCCCUUGAGGCGUGGCUUCCGGAGCUAACGCGUUAAAUCGACCGCCUGGGGAGUACGGCCGCAAGGUUAAAACUCAAAUGAAUUGACGGGGGCCCGCACAAGCGGUGGAGCAUGUGGUUUAAUUCGAUGCAACGCGAAGAACCUUACCUACUCUUGACAUCCAGAGAACUUAGCAGAGAUGGUUUGGUGCCUUCGGGAACUCUGAGACAGGUGCUGCAUGGCUGUCGUCAGCUCGUGUUGUGAAAUGUUGGGUUAAGUCCCGCAACGAGCGCAACCCUUAUCCUUUGUUGCCAGCGGUUCGGCCGGGAACUCAAAGGAGACUGCCAGUGAUAAACUGGAGGAAGGUGGGGAUGACGUCAAGUCAUCAUGGCCCUUACGAGUAGGGCUACACACGUGCUACAAUGGCAUAUACAAAGAGAAGCGACCUCGCGAGAGCAAGCGGACCUCAUAAAGUAUGUCGUAGUCCGGAUUGGAGUCUGCAACUCGACUCCAUGAAGUCGGAAUCGCUAGUAAUCGUAGAUCAGAAUGCUACGGUGAAUACGUUCCCGGGCCUUGUACACACCGCCCGUCACACCAUGGGAGUGGGUUGCAAAAGAAGUAGGUAGCUUAACCUUCGGGAGGG